rnacentral:rRNA from 1 species
AACGAACGCUGGCGGCAGGCCUCAUACAUGCAAGUCGAGCGAGAAACCUUCCUUCGGGAAGGCGGACAGCGGCAGACGGGUGAGUAACGCGUGGGAACGUACCGUUUGGUUCGGAACAACUCCGGGAAACUGGAGCUAAUACCGGAUAAGCCCUCAGGGGGAAAGAUUUAUCGCCGAACGAUCGGCCCGCGUCUGAUUAGCUAGUUGGUGAGGUAACGGCUCACCAAGGCUGCGAUCAGUAGCUGGUCUGAGAGGAUGAUCAGCCACACUGGGACUGAGACACGGCCCAGACUCCUACGGGAGGCAGCAGUAGGGAAUAUUGGACAAUGGGCGAAAGCCUGAUCCAGCCAUGCCGCGUGAGUGACGAAGGCCUUAGGGUUGUAAAGCUCUUUCGGCGGGGACGA